rnacentral:rRNA from 1 species
UUAGCCCUGAAAAUGGAUGGCGCUAAAGCGAGCUGCCGAUGUCGUGCCGUUUGGGGCAAAUCUGUGGUCCUAGUGGGGCGAAAAAACUGGGGAGAUAGAUGGAGAUGUGUAUAUAUUUUUUUCGAUUCUUUCCUUUAUGUUUCAAUCUACUGGGGAACACUCGACAGUUUAUGUGAUUCCUGAAUGAGUAGGAGGGCGUGGAGGUUGCGACGAAGCGUGCGGGGUAACCUGGCGUGGAGCGGCCUCUAGUGCAGAUCUUGGUGAUAGUAGCAAAUAUUCAGGUGAGAUCCCUGAAGGUCGAAGCGGGGAAGGGUUCCACGCGAACAUUGAUUGAACGUGGGUGAGCCGUACCUAAGCCGAGUGGCCAUGGCUACGAUAGGCGAAAGGGAGGCAGGUUGAUAUUCCUGCGCUCGGAUGUAGUUGAUCGCGGCGACGCAUCUCUUUCCGGGGUGGUGACAUCGGUGGACUCGCUGGGCAGAGUUUUCUUCUCUGUUUGACGCGUACCGCGCUGUGUGGAGGCCGAUUAUCGGGAGAAGCACGCGCGAUGAGGCAGAGCGCCGCAAGGUAUUUGCGGGGUCCGGCUUGAGUUAAUCGGUCCUUGAAAAACCACUUGCUGGGUCGAGUGAGGGACGAGAUGAGACUUUGUUUCCUUGAACCUCUCUCGAUUUGAAGAAACGACUACGCUGAGACGUACCCAGAACCGCAUCAGGUCCCCUAGGUG